GACGAAGGGGGCAAGCGUUAUCCGGAAUUAUUGGGCUUAAAGGGGACGUAGGCGGCUGGUCAAGUCUGGGGUCAAAGGUCUCAGCUCAACUGAGGGAAGGCCCUCGAAACUGACCGGCUAGAGUGAGGUAGGGGUUGCGGGAAUUACCGGUGUAGCGGUGAAAUGCGCAGAUAUCGGGAAGAACACCUGAGGCGGAAGCGAGUAACUGGGCCUCAACUGACGCUGAGGAACGCAAGCUAGGGGAGCGAACGGU
rnacentral:rRNA from 1 species